GACCUCGAAUCAGGUAGGAGUACCCGCUGAACUUAAGCAUAUCAAUA
rnacentral:rRNA from 1 species